rnacentral:lncRNA from 1 species
UAAGAACAUAAAUCUAAUUUGAUCGUAGUAAAAGACAUGAAGAGAGGAUAACAUCAUCUAUAUUGGUGCAACAUCAUUUUGGAAAAAUCCUCAAAACAAACAAAGCCGUCCAUAUUUUUAUCAACGCCCUUGAUCAUCCUACGGCAGUCUUCUAACGAACACACCCCAUCUCCGAUAGACGUGAACACACACAAUAACUCCUCCGCUGAGAUCUUCCCAUCGUGAUCCGUGUCGAAAAAAUCGAACGCCUCUCGUAACUCCACGUCACCAGAUGGAGGCCCGAAAGCGGAGCUGAUCGCACCGAAUUCCUCCAAACUAAUACACCCAUCACCGUCACUAUCAAGCUCUCUAAGCAUCAUGGUGAGCUCCUCUUCGGAGAGCGGGUCCGACCCGACCCGACCCAGAAGCGACCCGAGUUCGGCCCGGGUAAUUUUCCC